GGUUAAGCGACUAAGCGUACACGGUGGAUGCCCUGGCAGUCAGAGGCGAUGAAGGACGUGCUAAUCUGCGAAAAGCGUCGGUAAGGUGAUAUGAACCGUUAUAACCGGCGAUGUCCGAAUGGGGAAACCCAGUGUGAUUCGUCACACUAUCGUUAACUGAAUACAUAGGUUAACGAGGCGAACCGGGGGAACUGAAACAUCUAAGUACCCCGAGGAAAAGAAAUCAACCGAGAUUCCCCCAGUAGCGGCGAGCGAACGGGGAGCAGCCCAGAGUCUGAAUCAGCUUGUGUGUUAGUGGAACGGUCUGGAAAGUCCGACGGUACAGGGUGAUAGUCCCGUACACCAAAAUGCACAGGUUGUGAACUCGAAGAGUAGGGCGGGACACGUGGUAUCCUGUCUGAAUAUGGGGGGACCAUCCUCCAAGGCUAAAUACUCCUGACUGACCGAUAGUGAACCAGUACCGUGAGGGAAAGGCGAAAAGAACCCCGGCGAGGGGAGUGAAAAAGAACCUGAAACCGUGUACGUACAAGCAGUGGGAGCACCUUCGGGUGUGACUGCGUACCUUUUGUAUAAUGGGUCAGCGACUUAUAUUCUGUAGCAAGGUUAACCGUAUAGGGGAGCCGCAGGGAAACCGAGUCUUAACUGGGCGUUAAGUUGCAGGGUAUAGACCCGAAACCCGGUGAUCUAGCCAUGGGCAGGUUGAAGGUUGGGUAACACUAACUGGAGGACCGAACCGACUAAUGUUGAAAAAUUAGCGGAUGACUUGUGGCUGGGGGUGAAAGGCCAAUCAAACCGGGAGAUAGCUGGUUCUCCCCGAAAGCUAUUUAGGUAGCGCCUCGUGAAUUCAUCUUCGGGGGUAGAGCACUGUUUCGGCUAGGGGGUCAUCCCGACUUACCAACCCGAUGCAAACUACGAAUACCGAAGAAUGUUAUCACGGGAGACACACGGCGGGUGCUAACGUCCGUCGUGAAGAGGGAAACAACCCAGACCGCCAGCUAAGGUCCCAAAGUCAUGGUUAAGUGGGAAACGAUGUGGGAAGGCACAGACAGCCAGGAUGUUGGCUUAGAAGCAGCCAUCAUUUAAAGAAAGCGUAAUAGCUCACUGGUCGAGUCGGCCUGCGCGGAAGAUGUAACGGGGCUAAACCAUGCACCGAAGCUGCGGCAGCGACACUAUGUGUUGUUGGGUAGGGGAGCGUUCUGUAAGCCUGCGAAGGUGUGCUGUGAGGCAUGCUGGAGGUAUCAGAAGUGCGAAUGCUGACAUAAGUAACGAUAAAGCGGGUGAAAAGCCCGCUCGCCGGAAGACCAAGGGUUCCUGUCCAACGUUAAUCGGGGCAGGGUGAGUCGACCCCUAAGGCGAGGCCGAAAGGCGUAGUCGAUGGGAAACAGGUUAAUAUUCCUGUACUUGGUGUUACUGCGAAGGGGGACGGAGAAGGCUAUGUUAGCCGGGCGACGGUUGUCCCGGUUUAAGCAUGUAGGCUGGUUAUCCAGGCAAAUCCGGAUAAUCAAGGCUGAGGUGUGAUGACGAGGCACUACGGUGCUGAAGUAACAAAUGCCCUGCUUCCAGGAAAAGCCUCUAAGCAUCAGGUAACAUCAAAUCGUACCCCAAACCGACACAGGUGGUCAGGUAGAGAAUACCAAGGCGCUUGAGAGAACUCGGGUGAAGGAACUAGGCAAAAUGGUGCCGUAACUUCGGGAGAAGGCACGCUGGUGUGUAGGUGAAGUCCCUGCGGAUGGAGCUGAGACCAGUCGAAGAUACCAGCUGGCUGCAACUGUUUAUUAAAAACACAGCACUGUGCAAACACGAAAGUGGACGUAUACGGUGUGACGCCUGCCCGGUGCCGGAAGGUUAAUUGAUGGGGUUAUCCGUAAGGAGAAGCUCUUGAUCGAAGCCCCGGUAAACGGCGGCCGUAACUAUAACGGUCCUAAGGUAGCGAAAUUCCUUGUCGGGUAAGUUCCGACCUGCACGAAUGGCGUAAUGAUGGCCAGGCUGUCUCCACCCGAGACUCAGUGAAAUUGAACUCGCUGUGAAGAUGCAGUGUACCCGCGGCAAGACGGAAAGACCCCGUGAACCUUUACUAUAGCUUGACACUGAACAUUGAGCCUUGAUGUGUAGGAUAGGUGGGAGGCUUUGAAGCGUGGACGCCAGUCUGCGUGGAGCCAACCUUGAAAUACCACCCUUUAAUGUUUGAUGUUCUAACGUUGGCCCCUGACCGGGGUUGCGGACAGUGUCUGGUGGGUAGUUUGACUGGGGCGGUCUCCUCCCAAAGCGUAACGGAGGAGCACGAAGGUUAGCUAAUCCUGGUCGGACAUCAGGAGGUUAGUGCAAUGGCAUAAGCUAGCUUGACUGCGAGCGUGACGGCGCGAGCAGGUGCGAAAGCAGGUCAUAGUGAUCCGGUGGUUCUGAAUGGAAGGGCCAUCGCUCAACGGAUAAAAGGUACUCCGGGGAUAACAGGCUGAUACCGCCCAAGAGUUCAUAUCGACGGCGGUGUUUGGCACCUCGAUGUCGGCUCAUCACAUCCUGGGGCUGAAGUAGGUCCCAAGGGUAUGGCUGUUCGCCAUUUAAAGUGGUACGCGAGCUGGGUUUAGAACGUCGUGAGACAGUUCGGUCCCUAUCUGCCGUGGGCGCUGGAGAAUUGAGGGGGCUGCUCCUAGUACGAGAGGACCGGAGUGGACGCAUCACUGGUGUUCGGGUUGUCAUGCCAAUGGCACUGCCCGGUAGCUAAAUGCGGAAGAGAUAAGUGCUGAAAGCAUCUAAGCACGAAACUUGCCCCGAGAUGAGUUCUCCCUGAGACUUUAAGUCUCCUGAAGGAACGUUGAAGACGACGACGUUGAUAGGCCGGGUGUGUAAGCGCAGCGAUGCGUUGAGCUAACCGGUACUAAUGAACCGUGAGGCUUAACCUU
rnacentral:rRNA from 1 species